AUGCCUCUUCAGGAGAAAUGGAUAUCCAGGCCUCGAGGCUCCUGGCAGCCUGCCCGUUUGGCAGCCUCUGCCAGAACAGUCCGUGGAGUACAGACUGCUCCCUGUCUUCUCCCAGUCUGGUCCCUGGAGAGACUCCAAUCUCCCUGCUCGAGUCCUUCCCUUUUCUGCUUAUCAUGGGGAAGGAAUAUGCGUCUAGGCGUUAAAUCGCUCGAGUGCCAGCUGGCACAGCACAGCCACAGGGCCCCAGCAGGAGCGGGCCUCAGUUCUCAGAGAGCUGCACAAAGACCAAAGCAAAUUUAUUACUGUUUUUCAGUUUACAAAUGGGAAAUCCACAACAUUGGUCAAGAAGAAAAGGCACCAUGAAUGGGAAGACCGAAGUGCAGACAACCAGCUGGAACAAGGGUGAAAAUAUAGGAGAUUACGAUCCAUUCCUGGGUGGACGGCCAGCGUUCCAUCUUCACUAACACGAUAUAGUUGAAGAGCAUCAGGUAUCCGAUAUACGCCAGCUGUAAGGAGACACAAUACAGUGCUCUGGCUGUUCAGGCCCAGGAGCCCCAGCAUCAGCCAAGGCCACUGCACAGCAGCACAGAGCAGGGUCAGCAAGCAGGACACAGACUUUAUGACAAAAGGAACUUGAAGGUGCUAAACUAACAAAAGAAUUAGAAAAGACAGUAAUACUUGAAGGAUUAUAAUAUGCAAUCUUCCUUUUGACCUGUACAUGUAUCUCUGGGGCUCUGGUGCUUCGUUUAAAUCUAUGUGUCAUGAUGCAUCAUUUCGCCUUGCAGUUACCCAUUUUUGUGUGUUUUCUUGGCUAAAAAGGGAGCCUUGGCUGUCAGUGGCGGCUCUUGCUCAGGCGUGGACCUUAGGUUCUUAAACUAGGGCAGCACAGUGGAUUUUUGCCUCACGAAUGCCAGGCAGAAUAAGUGUCUGUGAGAAGCAAAGGAAGAGGAAGACACAUGUAACACCUGUAAAUUGGUCAAACCAACAUAAAAAUAGCCCAGGCUUAAAGUGCUUCGCUUGUCAGUGCCCUGGGAGGGUCUUACCUGUUUUCAUUUCACCACUUUCCUGUCCUAAUCAAGUUAAGAUAAGAUAUUCCUUCCUGGUGUCUGCUUCAUUGAAACAACACAAGAAAAGACAACACAGUUUACAGAAAGGAAAGGGUCCGUGUGGCCUUUUGUGGACGGGUGUGGGGUUUAAUCCCCAAGAGGCUCUGGCUCGUGGGGUUGAAUCCUGAUGUGACUGGCUGAAUUGCUGGAUGUCUGGGAAGAACUCCCUAGGGUUUGGUGACUGCUCCUGGAAGAUUCAGUUGUGUCAAGGUGAGUGAAGUGCAGGGAAACUGGUGGCUCUUGCAUAAGGGGCUGAGGAGCCUUGAGAGAAGACUCACUCACCUUAAGGGAAAUGGCAGACUAGCUGGGCCUUCCUUACACAAUGCCUCAAGUCAAGUGAGGUACUCACUGGCCUUAGGGGCCUCAGGGGCUGUGAGCAGGAACCAAGAGGGAGUUUAUUAACUAAAAUCUGCUGCACUCUUCAGAGUGGUGUAGCAAAGAAUAGACACAGUGUGGGUGAAAGGAUUGAGGCCUUGAGGGGUCUGGAGGUACUGCAUGACUUUGUAGCUGGGAAGGCAGCUUAGAAGGUGGAGGAAGCUGCAGCCUUGCUGGGGGAUAUGCUGCUUUCUCUACUAAUUCUCUUAUGUUUUGGGACAGGGUCUCACUCUCGUCACCCAGGCUGGAGUGCAGUGGCAUUGUGAUCUCGGCUCAUUGUAGCAUUGACUUCCUGGGCUCAGAUGGAUACCUGAAAUAGGCUCUCAAAACAAGCAGGGUCUAGGAGCCAGUUGGACCCCUGCCUCCUUUCUUCUUGGACCAGAAGAGGACCCAAUCUGCUCCUAGAGAAACUUGCUACGAUGCAGAAGUGAGGUUAUAUGGAAAUGAAGUGUGUCCUACCUUUCAGAAACUUGGGAGAGUAGGAGAGACCAUUUUUGAAAAUCUGGUGAGAAAUACUCUUACAGAGAAAAACACAGCCCAAAGCACAUGGGACCUUCAAUCUGAAAUUGAAUUGUACUGUUAAGCAUGUCUGGUGAUUCAAAAGACUGGCAUACCUUAUUUCCAGUCACUUCCUCGAGGCCUGGGCUUUGUCAAUAUGUGAAGAUGAAUUUUGGAGAAUCAUGUAAACACAAUUGAACAGAUCUGGGGGAUCCAGUCUGAUGGGUUUGCUGAGGCCAAUCCAGUCAGCCACGCAGAAGUGUGCUGGACACACAGGCCCCACCACCCCCCGCCAAAGAGGCAGCCUCCCAACAAGCUGCCAAUGACAUAAGCAAAGCAGCGUGUCUCAAGUGUCUCCAAUCAUAAGAUUCGCCUGGGAAGCUGGUUAAACUAACACAGCCUCUUAGGCUCCUUCCUGAAGACUGGAUUCCAUGGGUCUAUGAUGGGGCUAGAAAUUUGCAUUUCUAACAAAACUCCCUUGUCAUCAUGGACGUUUUAGAGAUAUUGAUACUAUUAUUUCUACUGAUUUCUGCUCUCGGGAGUCUGUAAACUUUUUCUGCAAAUGGCCAACUGGUUAACUUUUAAGGCUUUGUAGAACCGAUAGUCUCUCUCUGUCUCUCACUACUCAUCAACUUGAUGUGGUAGCACAAAAGCAGUCAGUCAGCCUAUUGCUAAUGGUAAAUGAGAUUUAGCCUAAAGCUGCCUCCUUAAGUUCGGCCUGAAGUUUUCUCUGUACAUUGUGAACUAUAACAAAUGAAGGUGUAACAAGACCAAUCACCGAGUUUCGGUCAAUCAAAUGUAGCCAACUGCUCAAACUGUGUUCAAAUAAGGCAAACGCUGAGCUGUAACCAAUCCAGCUGUUUCUGUACCUCACUUCCGUUUUCUGUAUGCCACUUCCCUUUUUCUGUCCAUAAAUCUUCCACCACGUGGCCCUGCCAGAGUCUCUGAGCCUACUCUGGCUUGGAAGACUGCCCAAUUCACGAAUCGUUCAUUUGCUCAAUUAAACUCCUUUAAAUUUA
rnacentral:lncRNA from 1 species